rnacentral:tRNA from 1 species
GGAGAGGUGUCCGAGUGGUUGAAGGAGCACGCCUGGAAAGCGUGUGUACGUUAAUAGCGUACCGAGGGUUCGAAUCCCUCCCUCUCCGCCA